rnacentral:rRNA from 1 species
GUGCCAGCAGCCGCGGUAAGACGUAGGGAGCGAGCGUUGUCCGGAAUUAUUGGGCGUAAAGGGCUCCUAGGCGGUUCAGUAAGUCGACUGUGAAAAUCCAAGGCUCAACCUUGGGACGCCAGUCGAUACUGCUGUGACUCGAGUCCGGUAGAGGAGUGUGGAAUUCCUGGUGUAGCGGUGAAAUGCGCAGAUAUCAGGAGGAACACCAACGGCGAAGGCAGCACUCUGGGCCGGUACUGACGCUGAAGAGCGAAAGCGUGGGUAGCAAACAGGAUUAGAAACCCCGGUAGUCC